rnacentral:lncRNA from 1 species
AUGGUGCUCCUGGAAGGCGUGCUCAGUGUGUCGUUUUGGGGUCGGUUUGUUUCUGCUGCCAAGGUCCUGCCGAAACCAUCUGUCUUAUUAUUCUUAAUACCUGUCAUUGGAUUUUCUUGGAAUUCCUUGUACUUGGGAGAAUGGUACCUGAACGUCGCCUCUGUCCCUGUUGCAACGGGCCAAGGGAUGUGUGGCCUCACCGAGCCUGAGCUGACCCAGCGGUCCGGACUGGUCAUUUCAGUGAGACUUUCUGACUCUGUGCCGAUGUGUGGCUUCUGCAGAAGGAGGCCUAACGGGGCAAACUACAUCAGAAGGACGAGCCGUGGUAAACACAUUUUCCCUCCUUCCCUAGGUCCGUGGCUUUUCUCUUGCUUCCACAAGACGUGUACUGAUUUCUUAUUUACGUAUUUUUGGCCCGAGAAUGAGCAAAUUAGAUUGACCUAAAUAUUGCUCACCCAUAGUUUAUUUUAUCCAGAAAUACGGGCACGGUUCCUAAUUACCCUUGUGUUCUGAGUAAAAGUUGCAGAUGUGUGGUUCUAACAUGACCUUGGCUCAUUUUUGCCUGUUUUACUUAGCAUGUACUCUGUUUUCGCAAUUAUUCG